rnacentral:rRNA from 1 species
GAUGAACGCUGGCGGCGUGCCUAAUACAUGCAAGUCGAACGGGGAGUAGCAAUACUCUUAGUGGCGAACGGGUGAGUAACGCGUUGGUACCUGCCCCGAAGCGGGGGAUAACGGACCGAAAGGUCCGCUAAUACCCCAUGUGCUCGGUAACGAGUAAAGGUGAAAACCACUUUGGGAGGGGCCUGCGUCCCAUCAGCUAGUUGGUAAGGUAACGGCUUACCAAGGCGAUGACGGGUAGGGGACCUGAGAGGGUGGCCCCCCACAAUGGAACUGAAACACGGUCCAUACACCUACGGGUGGCAGCAGUAGGGAAUAUUGGUAAUGGGCGCAAGCCUGAACCAGCAACGCCGCGUGUGCGAUGACGGCCUUCGGGUUGUAAAGCACUUUUGACUGGGACGAGGAAGGACGGGACCGGUCGAAUCAGCCUCGGCUAACUACGU